rnacentral:rRNA from 1 species
AGCUUGCUUCUAUGACGUUAGCGGCGGACGGGUGAGUAACACGUGGGCAACCUGCCUGUAAGACUGGGAUAACUUCGGGAAACCGAAGCUAAUACCGGAUAGGAUCUUCUCCUUCAUGGGAGAUGAUUGAAAGAUGGUUUCGGCUAUCACUUACAGAUGGGCCCGCGGUGCAUUAGCUAGUUGGUGAGGUAACGGCUCACCAAGGCAACGAUGCAUAGCCGACCUGAGAGGGUGAUCGGCCACACUGGGACUGAGACACGGCCCAGACUCCUACGGGAGGCAGCAGUAGGGAAUCUUCCGCAAUGGACGAAAGUCUGACGGAGCAACGCCGCGUGAGUGAUGAAGGCUUUCGGGUCGUAAAACUCUGUUGUUAGGGAAGAACAAGUACGAGAGUAACUGCUCGUACCUUGACGGUACCUAACCAGAAAGCCACGGCUAACUAC